UACGUAGGGCGCAAGCGUUGUCCGGAAUUAUUGGGCGUAAAGAGCUCGUAGGCGGCUUGUCACGUCGAUUGUGAAAGCCCGAGGCUUAACCUCGGGUCUGCAGUCGAUACGGCUAGCUAGAGUGUGGUAGGGGAGAUCGGAAUUCCUGGUGUAGCGGUGAAAUGCGCAGAUAUCAGGAGGAACACCGGUGGCGAAGGCGGAUCUCUGGGCCAUUACUGACGCUGAGGAGCGAAAGCGUGGGAGCGAACAGG
rnacentral:rRNA from 1 species